GUGUAGAUUGGUGUGGAGCGGAUACUGGUCCUCUUGAAGGAUGAAUGGGCAGCUGACCGCUCCUUGCCAAGCUUUGGCCUGGAUGUAAAGUUGAACCGUUCCUUUUCCUCUUCCUCCCUAACCUGUUCUUUGUUUCCACUAGAAUCCUUGUUGAGUCCAGCGCCUCCUUCCUGUCCAGGAUCACCUUCUGGUGGAUCACAGGGUUGAUAUCCCAGGCUACCACCAGCCCCUGGAGAGCAGUGGCCCCUGCUCCUUAAACAAGGAGGACACGCAGGAACAAGUCAUGCCUGUUUCAGCAAAGAACUGGAAGAAGAAAUGCGCCCAGUCUAGGAACAAGUCAUCAACAAAGAAGGAUUCUGUGACCAAACAUGUGGAGAGGGUUUUUCCCACCAACAGGCAAGCAGUCACUUCUGCAGAUGAAACAAACUGGGUGUCGUCUAAUUCAGUUCUCACUUUCUGUCUGCAGACAGCAUCAGAUUCCACAGGUAAAGGUCUCAGUCCUGUGAGACUGCCUCACUACAUCAGUCCUAAGUCUGAGACUCCAGAACUCUGACCAAUCAACUUCAAAUUGGGGUUCCCAGGACUCCCUCUUUGGGUUAAAUUGAAUUUGCUGGAAUGGCUCAAAAUACUCAUGAAACACACUUAGCAGCAUACUAUGAAUGACCGUACAAAAGGUACAUUUUAAGAGAUGUAUAGUGCAAAGUAUGGGGCUUAGUGGCACAGAGAUUCCAUGCCCUCUCAGGACACACCACCCUCCAGGAACCUCC